GACGAACGCUGGCGGCGUGCUUAACACAUGCAAGUCGAACGGAAAGGCCCUGCUUUUGUGGGGUGCUCGAGUGGCGAACGGGUGAGUAACACGCGAGUAACCUGCCCUUGACUUUGGGAUAACAUCAGGAAACUGGGGCUAAUACCGGAUAGGAGCUCCUGCUGCACGGUGGGGGUUGGAAAGUUUCGGCGGUUGGGGAUGGACUCGAGGCUUAUCAGCUUGUUGGUGGGGUAGUGGCUUACCAAGGCUUUGACGGGUAGCCGGCCUGAGAGGGUGACCGGCCACAUUGGGACUGAGAUACGGCCCAGACUCCUACGGGAGGCAGCAGUGGGGAAUAUUGCACAAUGGGCGGAAGCCUGAUGCAGCAACGCCGCGUGCGGGAUGACGGCCUUCGGGUUGUAAACCGCUUUCGCCUGUGACGAAGCGUGAGUGACGGUAAUGGGUAAAGAAGCACCGGCUAACUACGUG
rnacentral:rRNA from 1 species